AGAGAGAAUUAUGUUUGUAGCGGCUCCCUGGCAAGUAUGCCGACAGCUGACCUGGCACCGAUAUCACCGCAGCCGUAUUUAUGAUGGAGAUGGGAUCCAGGAAGAUGGAUAAAACACUCCAUAUCAUAGCUACUCUGGGUAUUAAUGUUGGAUAUUUGAUUGGCGUGGGUAUAGAUUAUGUUGAAAACAAUCGCCUCAGAAGCCGCCAUUGUCCACAAAACAACCUGCUCUAAAAAUUUUGAAUUUUUCACGGCAGUAUUACAGUCGGGACACCUGCAAAGCACAGAAUAUUGUUCAGAACUGGAGGAGCACAGUAGUUAUUUUGAAUCAAAAUGAUGCCCGUUGAAAAAACAGUGCCAUCUUUGGUCGUGUGUUGUCUCAGCUUGCCUUCAAAAACACAGUAAAAACACUCAGCCUUUAGUUGUUAUGAAGUCAGCAGAACACGUAGGAACUAGGAAGCAACAAGAGUUAAUGUGAAGUAGGUCAAUAUGAAUGCAUGUUCUUCACAGCAGCCAUUUUGUGCUCAUUAUUUACGUAAUGCUGAAUUAAUCAAUAGGAAACCUAAUGUUCCGUGAGCGAUGAAAUCUCCUAUGCUUGUCUCUCUGCCGCUUCAAAAGCAACUCCUGCAAGACUAGUCCCAUUAGCCUCCCCACGAGCCCUCUGAUGGCUCCUACACCAGAUAUAUGCUGCACACCCCUACAGUCAACUUAGAGCAAGGUUAGGGUCAGCCUAGGUCCAACCCCCUGCCCAGUCUUAUAUUCCCUGCUUGGCUAACGUGCUAAGCUCGUAUAGCCUUUCUGUUGCACCAGGGAGCUGCAGAAACAUGCUUGGGAAGUCUAGAUUAGACCAUGUUAAAUCAGGGAGCUGUUAGAACGAGGGUCCUCUUAUUGCUCUUCUACACAGGGGAGGAAGGUUAUUAGUGUGACAUGCAGUGAAAACAGAAAUAGCUGUAGUGAAGCCAGGCUCUGGAACAAAGAAAAUGAGAAGUGGGUUUUAUUCCUUCUCUUACUGACUCCAGAAGUCUGCCAUCUCAGCCCAUCUCAGCCCAUCUCAGCCCAGCUCAGCCCAUCUCAGCCCAGCUCAGCCCAUCUCAGCCCAGCUCAGCCCAUCUCAGCCCAUCUCAGCCCAUCUCAGCCCAUCUCAGCCCAGCUCAGCCCAUCUCAGCCCAGCUCAGCCCAGCUCAGCCCAUCUCAGCCCAUCUCAGCCCAGCUCAGCCCAGCUCAGCCCAUCUCAGCCCAUCUCAGCCCAGCUCAACCCAUCUCAGCCCAGCUCAGCCCAUCUCAGCCCAGCUCAGCCCAUCUCAGCGCAGCUCUGGCUCUGUCUGGCCUUUUAGUCAAGAAUGUUAACUUAGGAGUGACUCGCCUUACGCAGGACUGAAAGCCACCCACUCAUGUUAAGAUGAGAAUAUUUAGAUUGACAUUAUAGGUUAUUGCUAUUGUUAGUUUGACACACUUUAUGAGUCUGUUUGGAAAUACAGUAACAGUCAAAAGUUCGGACACACCUUUCUUUAUUUUUACUAUAUGUGUUAAUUCAUAGUUUAUAUCUUCACUAUUAUUCCACAAUGUAGAAAAUAGUAAAAAUAAAGAAAAACCCUUGAAUGAGUAGGUGUGUUCAAACUUUUGACUGGUACUGUAUGUAAAAUAUAAUAUAACAAAAACAUAUUUAUGUUCAUGUCAACGGUCACUGUAAUGCCUGACCUUCUCAUCUAACAUUAGCACCUGUGAGGCAGUUAUUCACAUUUCUUAACCUCUGGUUAUUCUUCCUCCUCUACUGGCUCUAGAUAUAAUGCCUUCCUAGUUUGCAUUCCAUAGUGUCUGUCCUCAUGAGGAGUUAGAAACCUCAGAGCUCCGAGGCUGACAGAGGGGCAGGAUAACCAGUCCUAAGAGCCGAAGAGGUUGACUAAGAGGCUAAGAGGCUAGAUAACCAAUCAUCUGAGCUCUGAAGCUGGCGGAUGGGUUGAAUAACCAAUCCUAGUGGGCGAAGAGAGAUCUGCCUAGCAUGUCUAGCAGACCCCAGCCCCUGGGUGUAGAGAACACUCACCCUAAAAUAGCAGUGAUUGUCAAGGAAAGGAAGUGAAAUGUAAUUGACUGAAAGUGGAGAGAUAAUUAAAGGAACCUGUUGGACAGGAGGGAGAAAUUAAUGGCUCUCAUUUAAUAGCUGCUUUGGGAGAAAAGGAGAGCUUUUCCGUCAUCUCGCUUAGCUAACGCAAAAAGGGAUUUUCGCUGUGGAAAUGGGAUUUUUGCUGAGAGGGGAAGUGAAGUGGGUUUGGGGGGGGGCUGGAUGCUAAACUGAAACUCCACAAAGUCACCUCAAUACUCAGGGCAUCAGGCGCUAUGAUGUCAUGAUUAGUGGAAACUUUCAGAGCCUUGCCUUCCCCAUGGGCCCUGCCUGCCUUGUCUGGUUGGGGAGAAAUAAGAGCUGUGUAUUCACCCAGAGGCACUGAGAGUAUGGUGGGAGCUGGGGGAGCAUGUUGGACCUCUGCCAGGGCAGCUGGAGGAGCCAGAGACACGAUCACACUGUCAGUCAGUCAGGGGGAGUGUUGUCUGUCAUUGAAACAUUAAUGCCUUGGAUCCAUCAGGUCAUCGUGCAAUUUUAAAAGACACUAAAAGGAAGACUUUGAUCCUAUCAUAAACAACAUAAAGAGCAGUCAAUCACAGAAAAGUGUGGGAUCAUGUUUGACAACAAAGCUGGAGAUUCAAAUAAAAAAAUGGAGACAGAAUUUUUUAUUCCUUCAUGUAAAUAAUAGAACACAGAAACAAAUGAGUCAGGAAGUAAGAACUGUACAGUAGAGAGGUCUGUCUAUAGUAGGUCACCUGGCUGUGUGGACAUUGAUGUCACUAUAAAACGUAUCCACAGCAGUGCAGGGAAUCUUUGGAGAGGGUGGGACUUUUUAACACUUUGGCUUUUUUGGCUACUGAGUAAACAUGAAUGAAUAUGCACUAUACCCUCAGCUGAACACCACCCAACAUAACAGGGAGAGGAUAGCAGAGAUCUGAUUCUAGAUGAUUUAGUAGGGCUUCAAUUCCAGCCUGGAGCAAUCCAUUAAUUAGGUUUACACUGACACAUCAUGAUAUUUCUGACAGUUGAAAGAUUGCCUGCGCACUAGCUAAUUGGAUUAGUCCAAUUGGAGCUGAUUAGAUGGAUAGAUGUGACCUCAAAUACGUGACGAGAAGGCCUGCCCCUCAGUCUGCUCCAUGCCAUGCAGAGGAGCAGGUGAUAGUGACAGCAGCCAUUAGUUCGCAAGUUGCUAGCUAGCCUGCCACCGGCGCGGCGUCCGCCAGUCACCGCUAUGCUCCACAGCUCCACGGGUAUGGGCGGAAGGGGGUGAGGGUUUGCCAGAUUGGAGCUGAAAACAUAUUUCCAUGUGAUCCAAACACAGAACACAGGUGUAUGAUGAGAAAGAGAGAGGAUUGGGCCAGGUGAGCCGGAUGCACUGCUACUAGGAUGAAUGACUACCCUGCAGAUCUCCCUGCCUCUGUGGCCUGCCCCUGCCUCUGCUCUCCCCACGGCCCGAGUACACAGCUGCCUGCGAUACUCCUGUACAUAUUACAUAGCUUAUUUUUUAAUUCUGUUAAGGCUUCUUUAUAGACGACCGUACAAUAAAUCAUGUUGAAAAAAAAUAAAGAAAUAGUUAAUAUAUUUCACUGACUACGAGAAGGAAACUAUGAAAUAAUUUAUCAAAAACAGUAGAGAGAAAACAUUUUUAUUUCUUGUAUAUUGAAGCGCUGAUGUUAAAAUGGAUUUUAUAUUCAUGUUGGUAAAAUGGUUCUUUUUUCCCCAUUCUCUUGUGUUUUCUGUUUUGUUAUCUGCUGAAGCUGGGAUGGACCCAUUGUCUCAAGGUUUAUUCUGAUAUGCUUUGAAGAUACAUGUUGAAGGGACAUUUUGCUGCACAAUCCCCAUAUGGAAUUACAUGUAAAUGGGCAAGUUUAAAGACAUGCCGUUGACAGAAAGCUCUUACAUUCAGUACAGGAAUGAAGAAACUGGACUGUAAAGGAUGAUAAAAGGUCAUGUGGAUUCAUAAAGAUGACAACAUUUGUUGUCAGAUUUGUUUUGAAAAAUAAGCUGUCAUUUAACAUGACCAUUGUCUUUCAGCCAUACAUUUCUCUUUUGUUUGAUUAUUUCUUUCAUCUUGAAUUCAUUUUUUUCUUGAAAAAGAAUCAGAGACAUCUCUUUUACUUUCAUCUUCUCUGCAUGCGGGAAUUUUCUCUCAGAGAUCAUUUCUGAAGAGCUAUUUCAACAUUACUGGUCUAUCUUGUAUAUAAUAACUGUGGUUGACUCCAACACCACUGAAGAAAAUGUGCCAAUAACAGAUUGAACGUUCCACUACACUGUUUUGGUCAAGUCAGGUCAACCCGUGGCCUUGACACCAAACUGAUCAAGAGAGGGAAGUCUGCCUUAAAACACAUUCAUUCUCUCUGGCAGUAUUACCUUCAAAAAUGGAGCACAUACAUUGUAUUCUGGGGGUGCCAAUGCUAGUUAUUUUCCAUUGUUCGUAAACAUGCUCUGGUUUUUCCUUGCAGAGAUGAGAUUCUGUUUCAUUGAAAUGCAGCUGUCAGUUGUAAAGAUUGCCUUGUGUCAGUUUUGCCUCAAUCCCACUUCUGACACCAAUAAGGACGGGGUCAUACAGUACAGUUACAUUUCCAUCGGUUACAUGGACCAAAUUUUAUCACAUGAAACCAAUAGAGCAGAGGUUCCCGAACAAAACAUGAAAUGAGAGCCUUUGUGCAACCAUUAAGAUAUACAGGAAAGCGAAAAUCAUCCACUGUACUUUGCUUCAUGAGACAUUACAUUCCCAGCUUCUCUCUCGCAUUUUAUCCACUUGAUUUUACUUCUGUCAGACAAAUAAAACAUGUCAUUUUAUGUCAUUUAUCAUAAUUUAUUUUAGGUACUUAUUAGUUCAUUUAUUUAUAAUAUUUUAGUUGAAUGAUAUAUUUGUAUAUCUUUCUCAUUUUUACUUGAAAAAAAACAGUUGUUUAUCUUUAUUUUCUCAAAACAGAACUGUAAUUUGACUUAGUGUUGGCACAGGUCUGUUUUUCCCUAAUUCGGGGUGGUUCCUCCCAUAGUGCUCCUGAACUGUAGUUCUCUAGUUCAUUAUAUUCUGCUUAGACUAAAAUAAAGCACAGUCCUGUAGAAGAUUGA